rnacentral:rRNA from 1 species
AAAUUGAAGAGUUUGAUCAUGGCUCAGAUUGAACGCUGGCGGCAGGCCUAACACAUGCAAGUCGAACGGUAACAGGAAUCAGCUUGCUGAUUCGCUGACGAGUGGCGGACGGGUGAGUAAUGUCUGGGAAACUGCCCGAUGGAGGGGGAUAACUACUGGAAACGGUAGCUAAUACCGCAUAACGUCGCAAGACCAAAGAGGGGGACCUUCGGGCCUCUUGCCAUCGGAUGUGCCCAGAUGGGAUUAGCUAGUAGGUGGGGUAACGGCUCACCUAGGCGACGAUCCCUAGCUGGUCUGAGAGGAUGACCAGCCACACUGGAACUGAGACACGGUCCAGACUCCUACGGGAGGCAGCAGUGGGGAAUAUUGCACAAUGGGCGCAAGCCUGAUGCAGCCAUGCCGCGUGUAUGAAGAAGGCCUUCGGGUUGUAAAGUACUUUCAGCGGGGAGGAAGGGAGUAAAGUUAAUACCUUUGCUCAUUGACGUUACCCGCAGAAGAAGCACCGGCUAACUCCGUGCCAGCAGCCGCGGUAAUACGGAGGGUGCAAGCGUUAAUCGGAAUUACUGGGCGUAAAGCGCACGCAGGCGGUCUGUUAAGUCAGAUGUGAAAUCCCCGGGCUCAACCUGGGAACUGCAUCUGAUACUGGCAGGCUUGAGUCUCGUAGAGGGGGGUAGAAUUCCAGGUGUAGCGGUGAAAUGCGUAGAGAUCUGGAGGAAUACCGGUGGCGAAGGCGGCCCCCUGGACGAAGACUGACGCUCAGGUGCGAAAGCGUGGGGAGCAAACAGGAUUAGAUACCCUGGUAGUCCACGCCGUAAACGAUGUCGACUUGGAGGUUGUGCCCUUGAGGCGUGGCUUCCGGAGCUAACGCGUUAAGUCGACCGCCUGGGGAGUACGGCCGCAAGGUUAAAACUCAAAUGAAUUGACGGGGGCCCGCACAAGCGGUGGAGCAUGUGGUUUAAUUCGAUGCAACGCGAAGAACCUUACCUGGUCUUGACAUCCACAGAACUUUCCAGAGAUGGAUUGGUGCCUUCGGGAACUGUGAGACAGGUGCUGCAUGGCUGUCGUCAGCUCGUGUUGUGAAAUGUUGGGUUAAGUCCCGCAACGAGCGCAACCCUUAUCCUUUGUUGCCAGCGGUCCGGCCGGGAACUCAAAGGAGACUGCCAGUGAUAAACUGGAGGAAGGUGGGGAUGACGUCAAGUCAUCAUGGCCCUUACGACCAGGGCUACACACGUGCUACAAUGGCGCAUACAAAGAGAAGCGACCUCGCGAGAGCAAGCGGACCUCAUAAAGUGCGUCGUAGUCCGGAUUGGAGUCUGCAACUCGACUCCAUGAAGUCGGAAUCGCUAGUAAUCGUGGAUCAGAAUGCCACGGUGAAUACGUUCCCGGGCCUUGUACACACCGCCCGUCACACCAUGGGAGUGGGUUGCAAAAGAAGUAGGUAGCUUAACCUUCGGGAGGGCGCUUACCACUUUGUGAUUCAUGACUGGGGUGAAGUCGUAACAAGGUAACCGUAGGGGAACCUGCGGUUGGAUCACCUCCUUACCUUAAAGAAGC